rnacentral:rRNA from 1 species
UACAGAGGUCCCGAGCGUUGUUCGGAUUCAUUGGGCGUAAAGGGUGCGUAGGUGGCGCUGUAAGUGGGGUGUGAAAAUCCCGGGGCUUAACUCCGGAACUGCAUUCCAUACUGCGGUGCUUGAGGACUGGAGAGGAGACUGGAAUUUACGGUGUAGCAGUGAAAUGCGUAGAGAUCGUAAGGAAGACCAGUGGCGAAGGCGGGGUCUCUGGACAGUUCCUGACACUGAGGCACGAAGGCCAGGGGAGCAAACAGG